UACAGAGGGGGCAAGCGUUGUUCGGAAUUAUUGGGCGUAAAGGGCGCGUAGGCGGCCAUCCAAGUCGGGUGUGAAAUCCCUCGGCUCAACCGAGGAACUGCACUCGAUACUGGUUGGCUCGAGUCCGGGAGGGGAUGGUGGAAUUCCCAGUGUAGCGGUGAAAUGCGUAGAUAUUGGGAAGAACACCGGUGGCGAAGGCGACCAUCUGGACCGGAACUGACGCUGAGGCGCGAAAGCCAGGGGAGCGAAUGGG
rnacentral:rRNA from 1 species